UACGGAGGAUCCAAGCGUUAUCCGGAUUCAUUGGGUUUAAAGGGUGCGUAGGCGGAAGGGUAAGUCAGUGGUGAAAUCCUGCAGCUUAACUGCAGAACUGCCAUUGAUACUGCUCAUCUUGAGUACGUUUGAUGUGGGCGGAAUGUGUCAUGUAGCGGUGAAAUGCUUAGAUAUGACACAGAACACCGAUUGCGAAGGCAGCUCACAAAGCCGUAACUGACGCUGAGGCACGAAAGCGUGGGGAGCGAACAGG
rnacentral:rRNA from 1 species